UUCGGAUCGCAGUCUGCAACUCGACUGCGUGAAGGUGGAGUCGCUAGUAAUCGCGGAUCAGCAACGCCGCGGUGAAUGCGUUCCCGGGCCUUGUACACACCGCCCGUCAAGUCAUGAAAGUGGGCAGCACCCGAAGACGGUGGCCUAACCCUUGUGGGGGGGAGCCGUCUAAGGUGAGGCUCGUGAUUGGGACUAAGUCGUAACAAGGUAGC
rnacentral:rRNA from 1 species